ensembl:snRNA
AUGCUGUAUGAAGGAGAGAAGGUUAGCUUUCCCUGGACAAGGACAGAAGAGGCUGUCAGGCCCGUACAGCAUUGUCACCUACUUGGUGACAUCUAAACAUUGUUCU